AGCGAACGCUGGCGGCGUGCCUAACACAUGCAAGUCGAACGUGAAAAGGGAAACCUGGGUAAAGUGGCGUACGGGUGAGUAACGCGUAGGUCAUCUACCCCAGAAUCUGGAAUAACCUGCCGAAAGGCGGGCUAAUACUGGAUAGAGCGAGGGAACUCGUAAGAGAGUUUUUCGGGAAAGGGAGCCCGCAAGGGCCUUCGUUCUGGGAUGAGCCUGCGUCUCAUUAGCUAGUUGGUAAGGUAACGGCUUACCAAGGCGAUGAUGAGUAGCUGGUCUGAGAGGAUGAUCAGCCACACUGGAACUGAAACACGGUCCAGACUCCUACGGGAGGCAGCAGUGGGGAAUCUUGCGCAAUGGACGAAAGUCUGACGCAGCCACGCCGCGUGAGUGAAGAAGGCCUUCGGGUUGUAAAGCUCUGUCGGAUGGGACGAACAUCUUCAUAGGGAAUAGGUAUGAGGACUGACGGUACCAUCAAAGGAAGCAACGGCUAACUCCGUG
rnacentral:rRNA from 1 species